UAGGGAAUAUUGCAAAAUGGGCGAAAGCCCGAUGCAGCAACGCCGCGUGGGCGAUGAAGGCCUUCGGGUCGUAAAGCCCUUUUUGAGGGGAUGAGGAAGGACAGUACCCUCAGAAUAAGCCUCGGCUAACUACGUGCCAGCAGCCGCGGUAAAACGUAGGAGGCGAGCGUUAUCCGGAUUUACUGGGCGUAAAGCGCGUGCAGGCGGAUUGGAGAGUUGGAUGUGAAAGCUCCCGGCUUAACUGGGAGAGGUCGUUCAAUACUUCCAGUCUUGAGUGCAGGAGAGGGAAGUGGAAUUCCGGGUGUAGUGGUGAAAUGCGUAGAUAUCCGGAGGAACACCAGUGGCGAAAGCGGCUUCCUGGACUGUAACUGACGCUCAGACGCGAAAGCUAGGGUAGCAAACG
rnacentral:rRNA from 1 species